CCUACGGGUGGCAGCAGUAGGGAAUUUUCGUCAAUGGGCGCAAGCCUGAACGAGCGAUGCCGCGUGAGUGAAGAAGGCCUUCGGGUCGUAAAGCUCUGUUGCGGGGGAAAAAAGGCAGCAUCAGGAAAUGGGUGCUGACUGAUGGUGCCCCGCCAGAAAGUCACGGCUAACUACGUGCCAGCAGCCGCGGUAAUACGUAGGUGGCGAGCGUUAUCCGGAAUGAUUGGGCGUUAAGGGUGCGCAGGCGGUCCUGCAAGUCUGGAGUGAAACGCAUAGGCUCAACACAUGCAUGGCUUUGGAGACUGGAGGACUGGAGAGCAGGAGAGGGCGGUGGAACGCCAAGUGUAGAGGUGAAAUGCGUAGAUAUAUGGAAGAACACCAGUGGCGAAGGCGGCCGCCUGGACUGUUGCUGACGCUGAGGCACGAAAGCGUGGGGAGCAAAUAGGAUUAGAUACCCUUGUAGUC
rnacentral:rRNA from 1 species